GUAGAAAAUAAGGAAUAUGGGGUUUGGGGUUUGGGGUUUGGGGUUUGGGGUUUGGGGUUUGGGGUUUGGGGUUUGGGGUUUGGAGGUUUCGGAUUUUAGGGAUUUAAACAUAAUACUUGUUAAUUCCACGUAAUCAGAAAUCGUCGUAAACACCACGUCAAAGGAUUUAAACAAAACACUCGUUAACUCCACGUAAGCAGAAAUCGUCGUAAAGACCACGUUAGAUGAAAUCGUCGUAAAUACCACGUAAAAAGAUUUAAACAUAACACUCGUUAAUUCCACUUAAGCAGAAAUCGUCGUAAAAACCUCGUAGUGUAAAAACUAGAAAAAAAAAGGAAAAGGAUAAAAAUACCAGAAUAACAUGUGGCAAGACUUCCAGCAAUUAUAAUACGUAAGUCUCACCCACAUGAAUUCUAAUAUCUUAUCCUUUUCCUAUUUUUUUCAAAUAU
rnacentral:lncRNA from 1 species